rnacentral:misc_RNA from 1 species
AAGUCGUAACAAGGUUUCCGUAGGUGAACCUGCGGAAGGAUCAUUAACACUUACAAUGAUAGCAAUAUCAUUGGCUUUUGUUUUUCCACCGUCAACCUUUUGGUCUUUUUUUUACCUAGGGAAUUGGGAAUAAAAGAGAGAAAAUGAAAAUAGGAUUUUGUCCUAUUUUUGUUUUUGAUUUUUUGCUUUCAAUUCUUUUUUACUUUUUUAAAACAAAUUAAACAAAUCUUCUGAACUUUUAAAAAGAUAAGUGGAGAAAAUGAACUUCACUGUUUAUUUUUUUCUUUUUUCUUUUAAAAAAUAAUUCACAAUAAAAAGCACAACUCUUAACAACGGAUAUCUAGGCUCUC